rnacentral:rRNA from 1 species
GACGAACCGUGCGAACGUUGUUCGGAAUCAUUGGGCGUAAAGGGCUCGUAGGCGGCCAACUAAGUCAGACGUGAAAUCCCUCGGCUUAACCGGGGAACUGCAUCUGAUACUGGAUGGCUUGAGUUCGGGAGAGGGAUGCGGAAUUCCAGGUGUAGCGGUGAAAUGCGUAGAUAUCUGGAGGAACACCGGUGGCGAAGGCGGCAUCCUGGACCGACACUGACGCUGAGGAGCGAAAGCCAGGGGAGCAAACGGG